GAUGAACGCUGGCGGCGUGCCUAAUACAUGCAAGUCGAGCGAAUGGAUUAAGAGCUUGCUCUUAUGAAGUUAGCGGCGGACGGGUGAGUAACACGUGGGUAACCUGCCCAUAAGACUGGGAUAACUCCGGGAAACCGGGGCUAAUACCGGAUAACAUUUUGAACCGCAUGGUUCGAAAUUGAAAGGCGGCUUCGGCUGUCACUUAUGGAUGGACCCGCGUCGCAUUAGCUAGUUGGUGAGGUAACGGCUCACCAAGGCAACGAUGCGUAGCCGACCUGAGAGGGGGAUCGGCCACGCUGGAACUGCGACACGGCCCAGACUCCUACGGGAGGAAGCAGUGGGGAAGCUGCCGCAAUGCACGAAAGUCUGACGGGGCAACGCCGCGUGAGUGAUGAAGGCUUUCGGGUCGUAAACCUCUGUUGUUAGGGAAGAACAAGUGCUAGUUGAAUAAGCUGGCACCUUGACGGUACCUAACCAGAAAGCCACGGCUAACUACGUGCCAGCAGCCGCCGUAA
rnacentral:rRNA from 1 species